rnacentral:rRNA from 1 species
UCUGGUUGAUCCUGCCAGUAGUCAUAUGCUUGUCUCAAAGAUUAAGCCAUGCAUGUCUAAGUAUAAAUAGUAUACAGUGAAACUGCGAAUGGCUCAUUAAAACAGUUAUAGUUUAUUUGAUAAUUGACAAUUACAUGGAUAACCGUGGUAAUUCUAGAGCUAAUACAUGCUUAAACGCCCGACUUUAUGGAAGGGUGGUAUUUAUUAGACUGAAGCCAAUAUUCCUUGUGUCUAUUGCGGUGAUUCAUAAUAACUGAUCGAAUCUCUUUUUUAGAUAAAUCAUUCAAGUUUUCUGCCCUAUCAGCUUUCGAUGGUAGUGUAUUGGACUACCAUGGCAGUAACGGGUAACGAAGAAUUAGGGUUCGAUUUCGGAGAGGGAGCAUGAGAAACGGCUACCACAUCUAAGGAAGGCAGCAGGCGCGUAAAUUACCCAAUCCUGGCUCAGGGAGGUAGUGACAAGAAAUAGCAAACCGGGAACCUCAUGGUUUCACGGUAUUGCAAUGAGAACAAUUUAAAACCCUUAGCGAGAAUCAAGUGGAGGACAAGUCUGGUGCCAGCACCCGCGGUAAUUCCAGCUCCACUAGCGUAUAUUAAAGUUGUUGCAGUUAAAAAGCUCGUAGUUGAACCUCUGUCUGGGGCUAUUUUUGGCUUUGGUCAGGCUAGUUCUAGGCAUCCGCCUACAAGACUUAGAGGGCAUUCAGUUGUUCACUAGGAGGAGUAGGCAUUUUACUUUGAAAAAAUUAGAGUGUUUAAGGCAGGCAAUCGCCCGCAUAUAUUAGCAUGGAAUAAUAGAAUAGGACACUUUUCCAUUUCGUUGGUUAUUGGAAUCGUGUAAUGAUUAAUAGGGACAGUUGUGGGCAUUUGUGUUUAAUUGUCAGAGGUGAAAUUCUUGGAUUUAUUAAAGACAAACUAACGCGAAAGCAUUUGCCAAGGAUGUUUUCAUUAAUCAAGAACGAAAGUUAGGGGAUCAAAGACGAUCAGAUACCGUCCUAGUCUUAACUAUAAACUAUUCCGACUCAAUGUUUGACUGGCUUAUAUAACCAGUUGAGCGUUGUAUGAGAAAUCAAAGUCUUUAGGUUCUGGGGGGAGUAUGGUUGCAAAGCUGAAACUUAAAGGAAUUGACGGAAGAGCACAACCAGGAGUGGAUUCUGCGGCUUAAUUUGACUCAACACGGGGAAACUUACCAGGUUAAAACAAUAGUGGGAUUGACAGUUUGAGAGCGCUUUCUUGAUUGGUUGGGUGGUGGUGCAUGGCCGUUCUUAGUUGGUGGAGUGAUUUGUCUGCUUAAUAGCG